GAGCAAGAGAGAGAGCAAGAGAGAGAUUCCAAGUAGAGUGUUCCGUCCCGCGAGUUGUUGGCCGCAUUAGAUUAGCGCUAGCCGUAGUAUCAGCCAGCGUACUAGCCGUAGGAUCUGUUCAUGUCGAACCUCCGCCAAUUAGCGCUAGAAGUCUGAGUUGAUUUGUUUAUCUUUCCGACCAAGUACAGGUAACCUUAGUCGGGAAAGCCUUAGAGGGAGCAAAUGACUUUAGGCCAGCCGGUGUAUUGUUGUAUUGCUUUUGUAAGAUGUUUAUGUAAAAUAAGUUAUCAUGUUUUGGCUCUAGGGCUUGGUACCAAAAACGUUCUGUAUGUUUUGGAGACUUGUUUUGUGAAAGAAAUAAAGUAUGGAAGUUGUUUUCAUUAAA